UGUGCACCAGCUGGUGGGUUGGA
rnacentral:miRNA from 1 species